GAGUUUGAUCAUGGCUCAGGAUGAACGCUAGCGGCAGGCUUAAUACAUGCAAGUCGUGGGGCAGCAUGACUGUAGCAAUACAGUUGAUGGCGACCGGCAAACGGGUGCGGAACACGUACACAACCUUCCUUUAAGUGGGGGAUAGCCCAGGGAAACUUGGAUUAAUACCCCGUAAUAUAUAGAAGUGGCAUCGCUUUUAUAUUAUAGCAGCAAUGCGCUUGAAGACGGGUGUGCGGCUGAUUAGAUAGUUGGCGGGGUAACGGCCCACCAAGUCGACGAUCAGUAACUGGUGUGAGAGCACGACCAGUCACACGGGCACUGAGACACGGGCCCGACUCCUACGGGAGGCAGCAGUAAGGAAUAUUGGUCAAUGGACGCAAGUCUGAACCAGCCAUGCCGCGUGGAGGAUGAAGGUCCUCUGGAUUGUAAACUUCUUUUAUUUGGGAAGAAAUCCACUUUUUCUAAGGUGGUUGACGGUACCAGAUGAAUAAGCACCGGCUAACUCCGUGCCAGCC
rnacentral:rRNA from 2 species